rnacentral:tRNA from 1 species
GGUUGGCUCAGUGGUAGAGUGCUUGCCUUGCAUGCAUGAGGCCUUGGGUUUGAUUCCUCAGCACCA